CUCAUUGUCUUCAUUUAUCCAUCGGUUACAUUACUGUGCCGCGCAUAACUUGGCUACAACGCAUGGAGGGCCCCAAAUUUUUUUUGAGGGCUCCAAACUGUUGAGGAUGUCUUGAUACAUGUUGGGAGACAACAUACUAAAAUUUAAACAUAAUCCGAACAUAGGAGGGGGGUUUUGAUGGGAAGGCAUAGGCUUUUGGGAGUAUUUCCCCCUUGAAAAUCGAAAAAGUCAAAAAUAAAAAAAACGGCUCCACUCACGAUUUUGCGGUAUUUAGUUUCUCAAUUUAGAAACCUUCCCUGACGUUGUUAUCAAAGAAAUCGCGUGUGGUCUUCAAAAAAAUUAAAAUUUUUUAAAACGAACCGUGACCUGUAUUUCCUGAGCGGAGGUCGGAGCUCAGACCUCACGCAUACAGCAUCGCUAGUCGCCGCACACUAGUCUCAGGAGUCCUGGACAAGACAGUCUCAAAAAGUGAUUUUAUCGGCGCUCCAGUACAUUGCAACUCUAUUGUACUCUAUGGUGUGAACGCGCCCUUGUGAAUCGUUUAUUUGAGGUUAGGUUAGUCUCAGUUCCAUGGCACCAAAAUAAACAAAUAAGUAUUAAGUAGUUGGUUUGUGUAGCAAUAAAUCGAUCAUGCUCGCGUAGCAUUGGUGUACUUGAGUUAUUACCUCGUAAAAAGGAACCGCGGAAAAUGGAAUUUGCCAGCUUGCUUACUUAAGUUCACGAACACCGAAGUAGCUUUCAAUAAAGAUCUAAUUGUAAAAGUUAGUUCUAGUGUCAGCUUGGAUAAUUCUUAGUAUGUAAUGGAAGAAAAUAUGGGAAAGACGUGUAACUGGUUGCUCAAAACUUUCAAUACGAAUAUUUUCUCUUGAUGUUUGGUUUUUUGCGGAGAGGCAGGUCACACCAACCACGAAAACAUUUCUCAGGAGAUUUGAAUUACUCUGAACUUUUUUUUCAUCUUGCUAAACAGUGAAAAUGUCAGUUUUGUGACGUGUAACUCGGAGAUAAUCAAUGUAUCAAAUCGUUAAAUAAAUGGACCAGGACCUUCUCCAA